GUUAGGAUAGUGUAAUGGUUUGAGCACUGGACUAAGUUUCUGGAGACCAGGGUUAGAAUCCCUGUUUAGCCA